UUCGUUGAUAGUAAAAGUAAAAGUGCACCCUUUUUUGUGGGACAGAGGAAUACGAGGAAAUGGAGAGAGCUGACUUAAAUUCAGGAAUGUCAGUAAAGUCUUGAGUAAUCCAGAAUACGUACUUGUUAUGGUUGACUUAUAGUUCCCUACUAUUGGUGGAAGUUAAAUGUACUGAGACUCAUCCCGUUACAAGCACGACCCAAGGCUUUUGCAAUAAAAAAAAAAGAACAGUAUAGACAGUUACUGAUAUCGACUUUUUACAACGCUUUAAUUAGGAUACAGUUAAAAUAUUUUCUAAGUUGAAGUCAUCAUAUAAUGCAUGAGCAUAAGAAAUUGAAAAAAUACACUAUAAUGAUGAGCAUAAUAAAUUGAAAAAAAUCCACCAAUAGGCUUGGAUGGAUCCAUGUCCAGCAAGUCGCGGUUCUUCGAGGCACUGUCGUUUAUACAUCCUGCGGAUGAUUCAGUGUCAACUCAUUCAGUUUCCCCGGCUUCACAUAUCCAGAUUUCACACCAAACAAGAUGAUACCAGGGGUUCAGGUGGUGGCAGUUUAUGAUGCAAAUUUACGUAUGGAUAAUGGAGACAAUCCAUCCAGAUGUAUUACCCUGAGAAUUCUACAUCUUCAACAACACUCACAUCCAGCAAUAACACCUUCUCAAAUCACUGAUACCCCUGAGGGAUCUACAACCUCCAUUUCACAAAAUUCAUCCUGGAGAAAUUCAAAUUGCAGGUUAUCUGGAAAUAGGAAGGCACAGAAUGAUGAAGAAGCAAAUUAUGUAUAUGUCAGCUGUCAUGACAUGAGCCGAUGACAUUUUACAAAUGCAUGAAAGUAACCAAACAGAUCUUGCAGCAAAGACUGGGAAUCUUGUAACAAGUUUUCUGAGACUGUUGCCUGAAGAGAAGAAAAAGAGAAUGGGUCUAAAAUAGUACAAACUUUCAUGUCUGAGUCAUUAGAAGAAUUAUGGAUGUAAAAAAAAAACCCAGUAAAAUAAAAUACUACUACUAAGGCAGUCCCCGGCUUACAACGGGUUCGGCUUACGACGUUCCAAGGUUAAAAUGCUUUCAAUUAUAUUCAUCAGAAAUUAUUUCCAGGUUUACAACACAUGUUCCAGGGUUACGAUGCUUACGACUCUGAUCUGGCAGAAGAAAUAUGACUCCAAAAAUGCAAAAUAAUCAAUAUUUAAAUGUUUUUUUUAAUGAAAAAUGGAAUAAAAAUGCAGUUUACAUAGUUUUUAAUACACCCAA